CUCUUAUCUUCCUCUUGCAUUUAUCAGAAGUGCUGAACCCUUGACGUGCCUUAUCUUAUUUGCUCCUCACAACAAAUCUUAUGAGAUGCAUCACUACCAGAAGUUGUCCAGAAAGAACUGUGACCGUAUGUUUUAAUUAAAUAAUUUUUCAUCCAGUUUUUUUCUUUGCAUAUAAAGAAACAGAAUCCUGACAUCUGAUUGAAUUAUUGGCUCUCCUGAUGGUUGCACGAUGGCUGCAGCAGUUCCAGAUGUCCCAUCGAGACACAAAAAGAUCCCAGAUGGAAGAUGCCAUCUCCUCCUAUGUGCCUCUUUUUAAGAGUAAGAAAAGAGCCAAACUCUAAAAUAUUUGAAGAGAUUUAUUCUGAGUCAAAUGUGAGGACCAUGACCUGUGACACAGACCCAGGAGGUUCUGAGAGUAGGUUCCCAAGGUUACACAGGAGUGAGGAGGACCACCAAACCAAACUAAGACUCGGAGGAAAAAAAAAAAAGAAAAAGAAGAAAAUGUCUGCUAGGUGCCAUGCCACUCAAACAGCCAAUGGAAAGGCCCACGUGGCGAGAGCUAAGGCUUCCUGCCAACAGGCAAGUGAGGAAGCCCAGUCAGCUGCCUGCAGUCCUGACCCAUGAAGAGCCUGACUGAAAGUGAAUGAGCAACCCUGAGCUAGGACAACCCAGCAAGGCCCAUCCUGAAUUCCUGCCCACAAAAACUCUGAGACAGUAAAUGUUCGUUGUUUUAAACCACAAAGUUUUGAAGUAAUAGAUUAAUUAGGUAACCAAUUGGGACUGCAGUAUUCCUUCAGGGAACUUGAAUAGUCAUUCUGUAUAUGGAAAUUGUACACAUCUUAAAAUUGCUGGACUAAAGUGAGAAGAGACUGUCUUGAGUCAACUGGAUAAAGUGGAAAAAAAAUUAAUUUGGAAAUCAAUAGAAUUCUGGCCUUGGCUUUGUCACUAAGAAACACUUAUAAGUAAUUUCACUUCUCUUGAAAUUAUGAUCAUUAUCUAUAACAUAAAGGAACUGAGCUAAAUGUUAUCUGAUGCCUCUUUAGGCUCUCAAACUCCAUAGAUUUAUGACAUGCUUGAAAUUCACUUUGUUUCACCCUAAUUCAGAGCUUUGUUUCACUAGCUCUAGAAUUAGAUGCCUUGGGUUUAAAUUGCAAUUCAGUCACUUAUUUAAAUAAUUGUACUUGGAUGAGUGAUGUUGCCAUUUUAAGCCUCAGUUUCCCCAUAGAUUCAUUGAGAAGAUCAAAUAAGAUGAUGCAGAUAAAGCUCUUAGUUUGUGGGGACACUUAGUAAGUGCUUAAUAAAUACAGGCAGUUGUGUUAUCUAUGUUGUAGCAGCACAUUUUGUAAAAUAAAACAAAGUUGAAA
rnacentral:lncRNA from 1 species